rnacentral:rRNA from 1 species
GCCAGACUCCUACGGGAGGCAGCAGUGGGGGAUAUUGCACAAUGGGGGGAACCCUGAUGCAGCGACGCCGCGUGGGUGAAGGAGCGUUUCGGCGCGUAAAGCCCUAUCGGCAGGGAAGAAGGAGGACGGUACCUGACUAAGAAGCCCCGGCUAGCUACGUGCCAGCAGCCGCGGUAAUACGUAGGGGGCAAGCGUUAUCCGGAUUUACUGGGUGUAAAGGGGGCGCAGACGGCAGCGCAAGCCAGGAGUGAAAGCCCGGGGCCCAACCCCGGGACUGCUCUUGGAACUGCGCGGCUGGAGUGCAGGAGGGGCAGGCGGAAUUCCUGGUGUAGCGGUGAAAUGCGUAGAUAUUAGGAGGAACACCAGUGGCGAAGGCGGCUUACUGGACUGUAACUGACGUUGAGGCUCGAAAGCGUGGGGAGCAAACAGGAUUAGAUACCCCCGUACAG